GCCUCCUAGAAGAGUCUGAUAGACAGAGUGAAGUUCAUAUUUCAAGGUCUUUUAAGAAGCUCAGCAAAGAAGAAAUUGAAGGUCUUCUUAGAGCUCAUAGUGAGAAAGUCAUUACACCAGGAACAAGACAACUCCAUAUCAGUCGAGCCAAUGUGUGGUCGACUGCUUUGCGUCAGUUCAAGAGACCCAAGUUUGCAGAAAGCUGUGAGAUGCUUUAUGUCACAUUUGCAAGCGAUGAACAUGAUACAGAGGAAGAUGCUGCUGACCUUGGGGGGGCCAAGGCGGGAGUUUUUCCGUUUACUGGUGAAGGCCAUCUUUCAGGACAGUGGUGCUUUUGAAGCUACACCAAAUGGAUGCACACUGAAAUUUAACAUCCUACACUUGCAAAAUGGAGUAUAUCGAACCAUUGGCAGGAUGUUGUCCACGAUAA